rnacentral:rRNA from 1 species
UAGUCUCAGUUCGGAUUGGAGUCUGCAACCCGACUCCAUGAAGCUGGAUUCGCUAGUAAUCGCGCAUCAGCCACGGCGCGGUGAAUACGUUCCCGGGCCUUGUACACACCGCCCGUCACACCAUGAGAGUCGGGAACACCCGAAGUCCGUAGCCUAACUAGCAAUAGAGGGCGCGGUCGAAGGUGGGUUCGAUAAUUGGGGUGAAGUCGUAACAAGGUAUC